AUCGAUAUAUGUAUUACACAAACAUACACAAUAUCAUAUUAGUUUAUUCCCUUCAAUACAUUAUGUAAUAGGCCAAUUUUGUCCUGAGUCCAAAUUACCAAAAUAAAACAAAAACUCAAACCAAUAAAUAAACAAUCCAAAAUUACAUGUCCAUUAUAGUCCAAGUUUUUACCAAAACCCUAGCCCAAUUCUAACCCCAGCCCAAAUCAGCCCAACACCUAAACAAAACAAGAAAACCCUAGCCUCCCUAACCCACUUCAGCCGCCGCUCCUCCUACGCACGCCACCACCGCCGCACGCCAUCUCCACACGUCUGACUCGUGCAAAAAUUGAAUGCAACAACAAAAAG
rnacentral:lncRNA from 1 species